GUGUGACACCAAUGUGUCCCAAAUAGGGACACCACUGAGUGACCCUAACAGUGACACCAAUGUGUCCCCAACAGUGACACCACUGAGUGUCCCCAACAGUGUGACACCAAUGUGUCCCCAAUGCAAUGACACCAAUGUGUGUCCCCAAUGCAGUGACACCAAUGUGUCCCCAGUGCAGUGACACCACUGAGUGACCCCAACACAGUGACACCAAUGUGUCCCCAACAGUGUGACACCACUGAGUGUCUGCAAUGCAAUGACACCACUGAGUGACCCCAAUGCAGUGACACCGCUGAGUGACCCCAACAGUGUGACACCAAUGUGUCCCCAAUGCAAUGACACCAAUGUGUGUCCCCAUGCAGUGACACCAAUGUGUCCCCAACAGUGUGACACCAAUGUGUCCCCAAUGCAGUGACACCGCUGAGUGUCCCC
ensembl:lncRNA